CACGUAGUUAGCCGGGGCUUCUUACUCAGGUACCGUCAUUUUCUUCCCUGCUGAUAGAGCUUUACAUCACGAAUGACUUCUUCACUCACGCGGCGUUGCUGCAUCAGGGUUUCCUCCAUUGUGCAAUAUUCCCCACUGCCGCCUCCCGUAGGAGUUUGGGCCGUGUCUCAGUCCCAAUGUGGCCGUUCACCCUCUCAGGCCGGCUACUGAUCGUCGCCUUGGUGGGCUUCUACCCCGCCAACCAGCUAAUCAGACGCGGAUCCAUCUUACACCACCGGAGUUUUUCACACUGAGCCAUGCGGCUCUGUGCGCUUAUGCGGUAUUAGCACCUAUUUCUAAGUGUUAUCCCCCAGUGUAAGGCAGGUUAUCCACGCGUUACUCACCCGUCCGCCACUAAGUUACGAAUCACUAGGUUUCAUCGUAACUCCGUUCGACUUGCGUGUGUUAGGCACGCCGCCAGCGUUCAUCCUGAGCCAGGAUCAAACUCU
rnacentral:rRNA from 1 species